AGUUGAAGUUAGUAGAUUUUGAGGCGAUUGAUUUACCUGUUAGUCUACCUACUGGUGUAACCAUAAAGUGUACCAAGUUGUUUAAGAACUUGCCUUUGAAGACAAAAGAUUGUGUUUUUCCUUCUGAUUUGAUAAAGUUUAGUCUGAGGGACCUAGAUGUAAUUUCGGGGAUGGACUAGCUAAGUGUGUACAAGGCUAAGGUAGAUUGUGAAGUUCAGAAAGUAAGUUUAAGGAACCUUAUUGGAAAAUUGACCUCAUAUAGAUGUUUUGAAAAGUCCAAGAACCUUUACUUAUUUCCGUAAUGCAAGUGAGGAAAUUGAUGAAUAGGGAGUACGAACUAUUUUCUGUAGUGUGUCAGAGGUGAUUAAAGAAGUUAGUGACAAUCGAGGAUGUUGCCAUUGUGAGUGGAUUCAUUGAUGUGUUUCCGAGUGAAAUUACAAGUAUGUUACCUGUUAGAGCUUUUGAGUUCACUAUAGACUUAGAUCCUGAAACGACACCUAUAUCCAAGGCACCUUAUAGCAUGACACCUCCUGAAAUGAGCGAAUUAAGACACAUAGUUGCCAGAGUUGUUUCGUUAAGGGGUAUAUUAGGCAUAGUGCAUCGCCGUAGGGAGCUCCUGUGUGGUUUGUUAAGGAGAAAGAUAAGAGUAUGGAAUUAUGCAUCGAUUUUAGGGAACUAAACACCAUAAAGAACAAAUACCCUUUGCCUAGGAUAGAUGACAUAUUGGAUCAAUUGAAUUGGGCGAGUGUGUUCUCGAAGACUGAUUUGUGUUUGAGGUAUCACCAGUUGAGAGUAGCUGAGAAAGACAUACCUAAGACUGCAUUUAGGACUCGUUAUGGUCAUUAUGAGUUUACAGUAACGCCUUUUGGGUUAACCAAUGCACCUGCCAUAAUUAUGGAUUUGAUGAAUAAGAUUUUCCACGAAUUCCGAAUUAAGUUCGUUAUUAUAUUAUUGAUGAUAUCCUGAUUUUUUUAAGGAAUGAGAAAGAGCAAGACAAACACUUGUGGAUUAUUUUGGGGACGCUUAGAAAGAAUAUAGUUUUAUUAAAUGAAGUAUACAAAUCUUGAAGUCAUGUGUGUAGAUUGACACCGACGAAAAAAAAGGGUUUUAGGACUAAAUUGAUUGAAAACUAUGACAAAUUUAAGAGAGGAUUUGAAUUGUCCAGGAUUGUUAGAAAUCAUUUGUGUCUCGAAAAGAUGGAAGGAAUUAUAUGAAUUGGUGGAAAGAGCUAAGAGUUAAGCCCAAAAGUUAUGCAUCCAUGAAAGGCGUGAUGAGGUUCAGUAGAAAAGGAAAGUGGAGCAGAAGGAGUGUCUGUAGAUCCUGCUAAGGUUCAAGCUGUGAGUGAGUGACCUACUCCAAAGAACGUGUCUAAUGUUUGAAGUUUCCUAGGCCUAUUUGACUAUUAUAGGAGGUUUCCGAGAGACUUUUCGAAGAUAGCAAGACCAAUGACCAAUCUGAUGAAAAAGGAAUCAAAGUUUGAGUGAAGGGAGAAAUGUGUGAAAGCUUUCCAGAUUGUAAAAGAGCAUUUGACCCCCGCACUCGUUGUCACGUCAGUUGAAACCUUACGAGGCUAAUUAACCUACUCAUGACCUAAAGCUAGCUGUUAUUGUGUUAUAUGCGAAUAUUCGGAGACAUUACCUUUAUAGGGCAACAUGUAAGAUCCUUACCGAGCACAAAAGUCUGAAAUUUUGGCAAUAAGGUCCAGUUGAAGCUUGGGGACAACAUUGAAAAUGAUACUGCUUUCCACCCUGUAACCGAUGGUCAGCUUGAGAGCACUAACCAAACCAUGGGAGAUAUGUUGAGAGCAUGUACUAUUGACUUUAAAGAGAAGUUGGGAGAUCAUUUAGAUUUGAUUGAAUUGUCAUGCAUCGAUAGUUACCAUGCGAGCAUUACGAUGUCACAUGUUGAGGCAUUGUGUGGAAAAAGUGUAGAAGUCCAUUGCUGGAAUGAUUUGAGUGAAAAUAUUGUAUUGGGGACAUAAUUCGAUGAAGUGGAAGUAUCCAAAGUUAUUCCCUGAGAUGAGUUACGAGGGCGUAACUCGUUUUCUUUAAGGGGGUAGAAUGCGAUAGAAAUUCGCGCUUUUUACCUACUUUUAUAGCAACCUCAUUCCGAGGCCCGACCACCUUAAUACAAAAAAAAAAAAAAUCAAAGUCUCCUCAAUCAAGGGCAUCCUAAAAAUCAAAUCAAAUUCAAAGUUCAAUGUUGUUGUUGUUAUUAUUCCAAAUGUGCAAAUCAAAUAAAAAGCAUGUUCAAGCGGAAUUUGGCACAACUUUCAAAUAACUGUUAUUUUGGCUCUAAAGCCUCAAUCCAAGCUAAUUCGAUUACAAGGUUGGGAUCAAGUGAAGCAAAGUUAUUCAAAGACUUUUUCACUUCCACUAAGCACAUUUUCUAAACACAUUUAUAAACACACUCUAAAACACGUUCCCUGCAAAUACAAUUCCAAACACUUCAAGCCUACAAAGAUCUGGGGUUGGGCGACCAUACUCUUGAGUCUUAGAACCUCGAGUACUAUCCCCUUGCCCUCCUCGCAAUCAUUCAUCCAUCUUCCCCUUACCCAAGCCGCGGGAGAAGGAACUAGCAAAUCUUCCAAGGCGGGAUGAUGAUGAGCCUCCUCUGAACCCCGAACGGUCAAGCAACGAAUGGGCCACACUCUCAUCUCCCUCCUCAUAAGCAAUUGAUGCAGGAUGUCUAGCUGUAGAACCUCUGACUCCCACAUACUCGGAAAAAGAAAUGUUCCUCUGGCUUUGUAAUCCCCCGUAAUUUUAUACAUUUUAUUAAUAUAUUUUAACGUAUAAGUAAUUAUAUUAAAAUAGAAUUUACGAAUUUUGAAAUAAAUAUUUAAGUAACGAAUAUUUAUUUUUAUACGUUUUAAAUAUUUCAACGAUUUAUGAAAUUAAAAUAAUUUUAGAACUUUUUGUUGAAAAGAAAUCGAAUUACGAAAACCGUUUGAAUUUGGAAAACAAUCCUAAUUGGUUUUGGAUUCAAAUACUUAAACUCAAUCCUAGUUCUAGCCCAAAUUGAUAAAGCCCAAAUAACAAAAACUCAAAUUCUUUACUCCCUCCUCUUUCUAUUUCACGUGAAAAGCAAAAAAAACCCAAAACCCCUUCCCUUCUCUUUCACUUUCACGUGGAUUUCAAACCCUCAAGAACUCCCUCCCUCUCGCUGCCGUCCACCUCCUGCUCUCCUCACCGUCGACCUUGCGGUUGCCCAGCCGCCGCCGCAUCACCACCGCGCCGAGCAUUCGUAGCCUGGCUGUAACCGUCGCCCUGCGCCCUCGCCGUCCACCUUGCGCGCCACCGCAGGUAGCACCACCGUGUGCCGCCGUCGCUCAGCCCUGCCGCAAGCCACCUCUGUCCGCCGGCCAACUCUCUCUCCUCCUCCUUGAAUUGGCGGAGAAUUCUCUUUAGGCGACUUUUGAAAGUGUUAAAGUGGCCUAUCAGUUUGUUUACACAAGGUACGUACAUACCUGUGUGCUUGGAAUGUGUGCUAAUUGUUGAAACCAUGUUGAAUUGUUGAUAAACUUGGUUAUGUUAAUGUUGUUGAUUAACUUAGUCAGGUUGAAAUUGCAUGUUUGAUACUGUUGGAUGAACAUAUUAAACCUUUAUUGCAUUUUGAGGAUUAUAACAUGUUAGUAUGGAAUAUUGAUGCAAACAUGUUUGAUUGGGAACACUAGAUUAUUUAGUAUUUAAUUCAGAUCAGUUAAUUGUUGUUCCCUUUUUAGCUUUUCACUACUUUAUGAGGGCGGAGGACCUUAUUUAGUAAGUUGAAACCUUAUACCCAUAUUCAGGGGUUGAUCAGUAUUAAAGAAAAGAUUGGAGUUAAUUGGAAUGAGUCUUGUUUGAUGCCCUUGUGAUCACUUACUCAAUUCCAAGAUAAAAACAGUUAUAAAUAAAUGUGAGUUGCAUGCCUUAUGUGAUUGUUGAGUCAUAACAGGGUGUCAAUUUGUAAAUCAUGUAAAGUGAAACUGAGUAGCAAUAGCUUUAGACUGUGCACGUCUAAAGUGACGGACAAACAGGAGUUGGGGUUCAUGGUGGUAGCCCAUGGCCUUUCAUUCGGACCGGAUUGAUCACCGCAUCCUAUUUUCAGUCAAACGUUCCUCGAUAUCGCAGGUCACUGAGGUUACGGAGUCGCGCCCGUACCUCGCCUAGCUAGAA